rnacentral:rRNA from 1 species
GACGAACGCUGGCGGCGUGCUUAACACAUGCAAGUCGAGCGAGGCUCUUCCUUCGGGAAGAUGCCCUAGCGGCGAACGGGUGAGUAACACGUGGGCAACCUGCCCCUAGCACUGGGAUAACUCCGGGAAACCGGGGCUAAUACCGGAUAUGACCUCUGAGGGCAUCCUCCGGAGGUGGAAACGAAUUUUGGCUAGGGAUGGGCCCGCGGCCUAUCAGCUUGUUGGUGGGGUAAUGGCCUACCAAGGCGACGACGGGUAGCCGGCCUGAGAGGGCGACCGGCCACACUGGGACUGAGACACGGCCCAGACUCCUACGGGAGGCAGCAGUGGGGAAUAUUGCACAAUGGGCGAAAGCCUGAUGCAGCGACGCCGCGUGAGGGAUGACGGCCUUCGGGUUGUAAACCUCUUUCAGCAGGGACGAAGCGAAAGUGACGGUACCUGCAGAAGAAGCACCGGCCAACUACGUGCCAGCAGCCGCCGUAACAC